UUCGAUGCACAUCAUGAAAUGCUUCAUCAAGACAAAGCAGUGGAAUGUCUUGAACCUCAACAAAAUAAUUUUUACAUGUCAGAUGGACUCUGGUAUCGAAGCAGAUGUCAACUGUGGCUUCUCUCCAUCGAAAACCGAUGCCUGGCAACUUGGAGACUAAUUACUCGGCUGACGGAGUUUUUGGCUGUUCUGUGGCAUGUAAUGCAAUCAGCAUGGAAGCAUCGUUGGUCGUUGUAGAUUUUGAGUAAGAUUUCUCACCCUCUGCUCAUGAUGGCAGUGGUGACCAGCUCAGCUGUGUUGGAUGGUAUCGUGGCCAUUGAGGCUCUGCUCACCUGGAUCAGCGGUGAGUUUGAGGACUGCAGAGCUGGCGGGUGGGUGUCUGCACAGAGUGGGUGUAGGAAGGCAGCUGUCGCCGUCUGGGGGGAUGUUCUGGCUU